rnacentral:rRNA from 1 species
UACAGAGGUCUCAAGCGUUGUUCGGAUUCAUUGGGCGUAAAGGGCGCGUAGGCGGCUUGCCAAGUCAGGGGUGAAAUCUUUCGGCUCAACCGGAAACUGCCCCUGAGACUGGCGGCUGGAGGGGGUAGGGCAGACGGAACUUCCGGUGGAGCGGUGAAUGCGUAGAUAUCGGAAGGAACGCCGGUGGCGAAGCGUCUGCUGGACCCCCUGACGCUGAGGCGCGA